AGACGGUCGGAUGGCCGCCUUUGUUGUUUUUGGCAAGGGAGGAAAGUCCGGGCUCCUUGGAAACACGGUGCCGGGUAAUACCCGGCAGGGGUGACCCUCGGGAAAGUGCCACAGAAAGCAAACCGCCUGAUUAAAUCAGGUUAGGGUGAAAGGGUGCGGUAAGAGCGCACCGCGCAAGUGGAGACACUAGCGGCAAGGCAAACCCCACCGGGAGCAAAACCAAAUAGGGACGGCAGACCGGUUUUACCGGUGAGCGAGUUUUCACGCUGCUGUCCGGGUCGGUUGCGUGAGGCGCUCGGUAACGGGCGUCCCAGAUGAAUGGCCAUCCAGCCCCUCGACUGAAAGGUCGGAGGGUGGACAGAACCCGGCUUACAGACCGUCUGGU
rnacentral:RNase_P_RNA from 1 species